ACAAUGCGCAGAGGAGGUAUCCCUCACUCCCUGACACUCAUACGCGCUCCCCCCCACCCAAUCUUUCGGGUGGGCUCGGCAGGCGGGGCGCGAGCCCGCGUGGGAGGGUGAGGGGAAAUCUUUCUAUCGCUUCCCCUGGUGGCGAGGGAGGAGGUAGGGAAGGAGAGAAGGACGGCCUCGGUGAUUCGGCGAUCGGCCGCGCGGGCUGAGGGUGAGGCUGCGGAAUCCCGAGCCGCGGAUGAGGCGGGAGAAGCAGCGCUGCCGGGACACGACGGGGUUAAGCUGGGUCGACCGCCAUUUUGGAUGGCGGGGAGGUAAGCGGCAGAACUGGCUCAGCAGCAGGAAGUGGAAGAGCAUGCACGGCACAGCGCGGCGGCGGGAGAGCCUCUGUGGGGGAGUGACACUUCGAAGCUCCCAGCUCCCUGGCAGUGCCUGCGUGCAGCUCGCUGCCUCUCCCGUGGGAAGCCGGGCUGCCUGUGCGUGAGCGCCGCGGAUAAAUACCUGUAGGGGAACCCCGGUGUGAUUCCUAAACGGUGUGCCUCGUCGGGAAAGUCAUCCCUUCCUUUCAGCCCUCGGUCGCGUACUGUCAAUGCCAAAUGUUAAAUCAGCUGUGAUUCAGACUACUGAAGACAAUCACAUGAUGCGUGUAAGAACUAUAUAAAGAAUAAUAAAAAGGA